rnacentral:rRNA from 1 species
UGGGGAAUUUUCCGCAAUGGGCGAAAGCCUGACGGAGCAAUACCGCGUGAGGGAGGAAGGCUCUUGGGUUGUAAACCUCUUUUCUCAGGGAAGAACAAUGACGGUACCUGAGGAAUCAGCAUCGGCUAACUCCGUGCCAGCAGCCGCGGUAAUACGGAGGAUGCAAGCGUUAUCCGGAAUUAUUGGGCGUAAAGCGUCUGUAGGUGGCAAUUCAAGUCUAAGGUCAAAGGCUGGGGCUCAACCUCAGAAAGGCAAUAGAAACUGAAAAGCUAGAGAACGAUAGGGGUAGAGGGAAUUCCCAGUGUAGCGGUGAAAUGCGUAGAGAUUGGGAAGAACACCGGUGGCGAAAGCGCUCUACUGGGUCGAUUCUGACACUGAGGGACGAAAGCUAGGGGAGCGA